GCGACUGUGGCGGAACUGGCAGACGCGCCAGACUUAGGAUCUGGUAUCGACGAUGUGGGGGUUCAAGUCCCUUCAGUCGCA
rnacentral:tRNA from 1 species